UACGUAGGGUGCAAGCGUUGUCCGGAUUUAUUGGGCGUAAAGAGCUCGUAGGCGGUUUGUCGCGUCGGAUGUGAAAACCCAGGGCUCAACCCUGGGCCUGCAUUCGAUACGGGCAGACUAGAGUUCGGCAGGGGAGACUGGAAUUCCUGGUGUAGCGGUGGAAUGCGCAGAUAUCAGGAGGAACACCGGUGGCGAAGGCGGGUCUCUGGGCCGAUACUGACACUGAGAAGCGAAAGCGUGGGGAGCGAACAGG
rnacentral:rRNA from 1 species